UAACUCAUCACUAAGGCUGGGUCCGUGCCAGGCUCCAGAAGGAGGUUGCACAGCCGGGAGGUCUGCUCCAGACUUCAUGACUCAACAGGAAGGUCCUCUGCAACCCUCCUCCCUCUGGUUCCUGGAGGAGCUGCUUGAGCCCCAUCGCUGAAGAAGUCCGCUCUUGGCCCCAGUGGCUGGAUCAGAGAGAGAUGUCUGACUUUAAUGGACCCCUUCCUUCUUCCCUGCCUUGUACCACCCUGUGAGCCAUCUUGGCACGAUGGGAGGCAGGCCUCACCUCUCAGUGUCCUGCACCCGGGAGACAUGAGCCCCCCCCAGCAGCUGCAGAGCCGCCGGAGCAGCCCCCUGUGCCCACCCCCUCGGUGCUGAUAGCUGCCCUGCUGCAGCUGUACACGGCCCUCCAGAGCUGUGCUUGGAGAUGUUAUUCAGUGGAGUUUUCCAGCUCUCGG
rnacentral:lncRNA from 1 species